rnacentral:rRNA from 1 species
CCUACGGGAGGCAGCAGUGAGGAAUAUUGGUCAAUGGACGAGAGUCUGAACCAGCCAAGUAGCGUGAAGGAUGACUGCCCUAUGGGUUGUAAACUUCUUUUAUAUGGGAAUAAAACGUUCCACGUGUGGGAUUUUGUAUGUACCAUAUGAAUAAGGAUCGGCUAACUCCGUGCCAGCAGCCGCGGUAAUACGGAGGAUCCGAGCGUUAUCCGGAUUUAUUGGGUUUAAAGGGAGCGUAGGUGGAUUGUUAAGUCAGUUGUGAAAGUUUGCGGCUCAACCGUAAAAUUGCAGUUGAAACUGGCAGUCUUGAGUACAGUAGAGGUGGGCGGAAUUCGUGGUGUAGCGGUGAAAUGCUUAGAUAUCACGAAAAACUCCGAUUGCGAAGGCAGUUCACUGGACUGCAACUGACACUGAGGCUCGAAAGUGUGGGUAUCAAACAGGAUUAGAUACCCCGGUAGUC